rnacentral:rRNA from 1 species
AGUGAACGCUGGCGGCGUGCUUAACACAUGCAAGUCGAACGAGAACGGGUUAUAGCUUGCUAUAAUUGUCAGCUAAGUGGCGCACGGGUGAGUAAUGUAUAGGUAAUAUGCCUCUUACUAAGGGAUAACAAAUGGAAACGUUUGCUAAUACCUUAUACUCCUUAUUAACAUAAGUUAAUAAGGGAAAGAUUUAUUGGUAAGAGAUUAGCCUGUAUUGUAUCAGUUAGUUGGUGGGGUAAUGGCUUACCAAGACUAUGACACAUAACUGGUUUGAGAGGAUGAUCAGUCACACUGGAACUGAGACACGGUCCAGACUCCUACGGGAGGCAGCAGUGGGGAAUAUCGCACAAUGGACGAAAGUCUGAUGCAGCAACGCCGCGUGGAGGAUGACACAUUUCGGUGCGUAAACUCCUUUUAUAUGAGAAGAUAAUGACGGUAUUAUAUGAAUGAGCACCGGCUAACUCCGUGCCAGCCGCCGCCGAAACAC